CAGCCCUAAACGAUGCGCGUUAGGUGUAUCGGUGACCACGAGUCACCGAGGUGCCGAAGGGAAACCGUGAAACGUGCCGCCUGGGAAGUACGGUCGCAAGGCUGAAACUUAAAGGAAUUGGCGGGGGAGGCACCACAACGGGUGGAGCCUGCGGUUUAAUUUGGACUCAACGCCGGGAAGCUCACCGGAUAAGACAGCGGAAUGAUUGCCGGGCUGAAGACCCUGCAUGACCAGCUGAGAGGAGGUGCAUGGCGUAGACGUCU
rnacentral:rRNA from 1 species